GGCAGCGUCUGGGACGUCUGCACCAUGGCCUGGGCUCUGCUCCUUGUCACCCUCCUCACUCAGGGCACAGGGUCCUGGGCCCAGUCUGGCCUGACUCAGCCUCCCUCAGUGUCCGGGAAUCCGGGACAGACGGUCACCAUCUCCUGUGCUGGAACCAGCAGUGACGUCGGGAAAUAUAAUUAUGUCGGCUGGUACCAACAGCACCCGGGCACGGCCCCCAAAACCUUGAUUUAUGAGGUCAAUAAACGACCCUCAGGGAUCCCUGAUCGCUUCUCUGGCUCCAAGUCUGGGAACACGGCCUCCCUGACCAUCUCUGGGCUCUAGGCUGAG